rnacentral:rRNA from 1 species
GACAGAGGUCCCAAGCGUUAGGCGGAAUCACUGGGCUUAAAGCGUGUGUAGGCGGACCUGCAAGUACCUUGUGAAAUCCCACGGCUUAACCGUGGAACUGCUUGGUAUACUGCUGGUCUUGAGGCAUCUAGAGGCAACUGGAACAAACGGUGGAGCGGUGAAAUGCGUAGAUAUCGUUUGGAACGCCCAAGGUGAAAACAGGUUGCUGGGGAUGUACUGACGCUGAGACACGAAAGCCAGGGGAGCAAACGGG